rnacentral:rRNA from 1 species
GUGACAUACCACUUGUUGCCUCGGCGGAUCAGCCCGCUCCCGGUAAAACGGGACGGCCCGCCAGAGGACCCCUAAACUCUGUUUCUAUAUGUAACUUCUGAGUAAAACCAUAAAUAAAUCAAAACUUUCAACAACGGAUCUCUUGGUUCUGGCAUCGAUGAAGAACGCAGCAAAAUGCGAUAAGUAAUGUGAAUUGCAGAAUUCAGUGAAUCAUCGAAUCUUUGAACGCACAUUGCGCCCGCCAGUAUUCUGGCGGGCAUGCCUGUUCGAGCGUCAUUUCAACCCUCAAGCACAGCUUGGUGUUGGGACUCGCGUUAAUUCGCGUUCCUCAAAUUGAUUGGCGGUCACGUCGAGCUUCCAUAGCGUAGUAGUAAAACCCUCGUUACUGGUAAUCGUCGCGGCCACGCCGUUAAACCCCAACUUCUGAAUGUUGACCUCGGAUCAGGUAGGAAUACCCGCUGAACUUAAGCAUAUCAAUAAGCGGAGGAAA